ensembl:snRNA U6 U6 spliceosomal RNA
GUGCUGACUUCGGCAGCACAUAUACUGAAACUGGAAUGGUAAGGGAAGAUUAGCAUGGCCCCUGUGCACGUAUGACACUCAAAUUUGUGAAAAUGCUGGAGGUUUC